CGGUGUAAAACACACAGACAGGAUGUUCCAACAGAAUAAUAGAAGAAUAUCACCAAGUAUAGGGUAAACCGCGUAUACAGGUUAUUCCAACAGAAUAAUAAGCAAUGGAAUAACAACAGUUCUCUUGAUGAAUAAGAAAGAAUAACACCCCUUACAUUACUAGGAGAUUGAAUACUGCAGUAGUAUAGUAACAGAAUAC
rnacentral:lncRNA from 1 species